GGCAACAGCCUGAGCCGCCUCCUUCCUCACACAGGUGGGAGUCCCUGUGAAGGGAAGAAGGGCGAGGGUGUCUUUGUCACCGGGCUGCUGUCUCAGAAUUACACAGAUGGGGCGGUUUGCAUCUCGCAGUCUGGAGGCUCAAGUCCAAGAACAAGGCGCUGGCAGGCACGGAUGCCAGACCAGUGUGGCUGGCAAAGGAAGGGCUGAGCGAGGGCUCCAGCCUCCAGUUGCCCCAAGAAGUCUGUCAGGGAAAUAUUAACGCCAUCAACACACGUGGGAGUGAGUGGCGAGCCCAGCGGGACGUUUGCAUUGUGUUAAGCCUUAAGGUACGUGAAGCCCAUGAGGGAGCAAUGACUCUGCAUUCCUAGGGACACAAAGGCGUCCUUGGGUUUGUUUCGGGACUUUGCUGUGCACCUGCGAGCGUGUGCCUGUAAAUUCCUGUGGCAGUUGCUAAGUGUUGCCACUAGAUGGCGCUGGAAGCCAAGUAAUAAAAUGGUCGCUCCCGCCCAA